GACGAACGCUGGCGGCGUGCUUAACACAUGCAAGUCGAGCGGUAAGGCUCCUUCGGGAGUACACGAGCGGCGAACGGGUGAGUAACACGUGAGCAAUCUGCCCUUCACACGGGGAUAACCCUCGGAAACGAGAGCUAAUACCCGAUACGACCACUUCAGGCAUCUGAUGGUGGUGGAAAGUUCCGGCGGUGAAGGAUGAGCUCGCGGCCUAUCAGCUUGUUGGUGGUGUAACGGCCCACCAAGGCAACGACGGGUAGCCGGCCGGAGAGGGUGACCAGCCACACUGGGACGGGGACACGGCCCAGACACCUACGGGAGGCAGCAGUGUGGAAUAUUGGACAAUGGGCGAAGGCCUGAUCCAGCAACGCCGCGUGAGGGAUGACGGCCUUCGGGUUGUAAACCUCUCUCAGCAGGGACGAAGCGCAAGUGACGGUACCUGCAGAAGAAGCACCGGCCAACUACGUGCCAGCCGCCGCCGUAA
rnacentral:rRNA from 1 species